UGAAUGGCUUGGUGUAGUUAGAAGGUGAAAGCCUGGCCCUUGCACCGUGGACAGGUCAAUCCCUGCGAGAGUCUACAAAUGCGAGGCUCUCAGCUACACAAUUUAUGGCAAUGGGGGAUUGCUUUUGGGCUUUCCCCCU
rnacentral:snRNA from 14 species